rnacentral:rRNA from 1 species
AUACGGAGGAUGCGAGCGUUAUCCGGAUUUAUUGGGUUUAAAGGGAGCGUAGGUGGGAUAUUAAGUCAGCUGUGAAAGUUUGGGGCUCAACCUUAAAAUUGCAGUUGAUACUGGUUUCCUUGAGUACGGUACAGGUGGGCGGAAUUCGUGGUGUAGCGGUGAAAUGCUUAGAUAUCACGAAGAACUCCGAUCGGGAAGGCAGCUCACCGGGCCGGAACUGACACUGAUGCUCGAAAGUGCGGGUAUCAAACAGGAUUAGAUACCCUGGUAGUCCGCACAGUAAACGAUGAAUACUCGCUGUUUGCGAUACACGGUAAGCGGCCAAGCGAAAGCGUUAAGUAUUCCACCUGGGGAGUACGCCGGCAACGGUGAAACUCAAAUGAAUUGACGGGG